AGUGAACGCUGGCGGUAGGCCUAACACAUGCAAGUCGAACGGCAGCACAGGAGAGCUUGCUCUCUGGGUGGCGAGUGGCGGACGGGUGAGGAAUACAUCGGAAUCUACCUUGUCGUGGGGGAUAACGUAGGGAAACUUACGCUAAUACCGCAUACGACCUUCGGGUGAAAGUGGGGGACCGCAAGGCCUCACGCGAUUAGAUGAGCCGAUGUCGGAUAGCUAGUUGGCGGGGUAAAAGCCCACCAAGGCGACGAUCCGUAGCUGGUCUGAGAGGAUGAUCAGCCACACUGGAACGGAGACACGGGCCCGACGCCUACGGGAGGCAGCAGUGGGGAAUAUUGGACAAUGGGCGCAAGCCUGAUCCAGCCAUACCGCGUGGGUGAAGAAGGCCUUCGGGUUGUAAAGCCCUUUUGUUGGGAAAGAAAUCUUGCCGGUUAAUACCUGGCGAGGAUGACGGUACCCAAAGAAUAAGCACCGGCUAACUUCGUGCCAGCAGCCGCCGUAACAC
rnacentral:rRNA from 1 species